rnacentral:ncRNA from 2 species
GGAAAGCCGGUCCAAGUCCGGCGCUGACCCGCAACCGUAGGCCUCCCGUGAGGGCGGCGAGCCGGACCACC